GAUGAACGCUGGCGGUAUGCUUAACACAUGCAAGUCGAACGGACUCUUCGGAGUUAGUGGCGGACGGGUGAGUAACGCGUGAGAAUCUGGCUUUGGGUUCGGGACAACCACUGGAAACGGUGGCUAAUACCGGAUGCGCCGAGAGGUAAAAGAGAAAUUGCCUGAAGAUGAGCUCGCGUCUGAUUAGCUAGUUGGUGAGGUAAAGGCUCACCAAGGCAGCGAUCAGUAGCUGGUCUGAGAGGAUGACCAGCCACACUGGGACUGAGACACGGCCCAGACUCCUACGGGAGGCAGCAGUGGGGAAUUUUCCGCAAUGGGCGAAAGCCUGACGGAGCAAUACCGCGUGAGGGAAGAAGGCCCUUGGGUUGUAAACCUCUUUUCUUAGGGAAGAACAAAAUGACGGUACCUAAGGAAUCAGCAUCGGCUAACUCCGUG
rnacentral:rRNA from 1 species